rnacentral:rRNA from 1 species
GACGAACGCUGUCGGCGUGCUUAACACAUGCAAGUCGAACGAUGAACAGGGUGCUUGCACUUGGGGAUUAGUGGCGAACGGGUGAGUAACACGUGAGUAACCUGCCCUGGACUCUGGGAUAACCCCGAGAAAGCGGAGCUAAUACCGGAUAGGACCUUUCCUCGCAUGAGGCUUGGUGGAAAGUUUUUCGGGGUGGGAUGGACUCGCGGCCUAGCAGCUUGUUGGUGAGGUAAUGGCUCACCAAGGCGUCGACGGGUAGCCGGCCUGAGAGGGUGACCGGCCACACUGGGACUGAGACACGGCCCAGACUCCUACGGGAGGCAGCAGUGGGGAAUAUUGCACCAUGGGCGCAAGCCUGAUGCAGCAACGCCGCGUGCGGGAUGACGGCCUUCGGGUUGUAAACCGCUUUUAGUAGGGAAGAAGGGCUUCGGCUUGACGGUACCUGCAGAAAAAGGACCGGCUAACUACGUGCCAGCAGCAGCCGCAGUAA